rnacentral:rRNA from 1 species
GGUAAUACCGCAUACGCUCAUAUCACCGCAUGGUGGUGUGAGGAAAGAUUUAUCGGUGAAAGAUGGAUCCGCGUCUGAUUAGCCAGUUGGCGGGGUAACGGCCCACCAAAGCGACGAUCAGUAGCCGGCCUGAGAGGGCGGACGGCCACAUUGGGACUGAGACACGGCCCAGACUCCUACGGGAGGCAGCAGUGGGGGAUAUUGCACAAUGGGCGCAAGCAAGGUGCAGCGACGCCGCGUGAAUGAAGAAGUAUU